GCUCUGCCCUUUGGUAUGCACCAGGUCAUCCAUAGAACCUGGAGUAUGGAAGACUUUGGACAAUGAAGGUUGGGUUGGCCCCAAAGAAAUCACCAUGGAUACCAAGAAUAUUCAGAACAGACUGAAGGUUUUCUACCUUCAUUUACAGACAUACCUAAACUGACUAUGGAUGAUGUUCACUCCAAGUCUAGCAAGUCUGGGCUUUUGUAAAGGCAGAUACUACUGAUUGAUGGCUUGGUCUUCCUCAAUGAUCAGUAUCAAUACUAACUGCCACCUACACUAAAAAUAACAGAGGUGCCAAUUCAAAGGUUCCCUGAUCUCCCAAUGGAGGAACCUAAUGGAGAAAUCUAAUUUAGAACAUUAUGCAUAAUGUCUGGCUAUGAGUCGCUGUAUCCAGUCCCAUCUACUGCUGGAAGAAUCCUUUAUAACUGGACAAGGCAUCUAGGAGUCUAACAGAAUAUCAUUAGGAAUCAUUUCAUCCAUGUCUUUUGAUCAGUUGUGUUCGGUACUGGAAGAUGUGAAGUCUAAACUUGCUAUCAAGGCUUCCAGUCAUGGACCAGCAUUGUAUGCAGUCAAGUUCUUGGCCAUGGGGAUUCCAUGGAGAUCACCAAAAACCUAGGUAGAUGCUAGGACAGAGGAUUCCUCUCUAAAAAUUUACAGUGAGUCCUCAUUAAUGUGGACUCAUCCACACAGCUCAUUGAAAGUGGAGAGGUUGAACAGGUUCCAUGAUGGGGUCUUCUCCCCAAUGUACUACUCACUAUGGUAUAGGCUAUCAAUAAAAUGAAAUGAAAUAAAAUAAAAUAAAAUAAAAUAAAAACGUGGAUACCAACACAUCA
rnacentral:sRNA from 1 species